rnacentral:rRNA from 1 species
GAUGAACGCUGGCGGCGUGCCUAAUACAUGCAAGUCGAGCGAACAGACGAGGAGCUUGCUCCUCUGACGUUAGCGGCGGACGGGUGAGUAACACGUGGAUAACCUACCUAUAAGACUGGGAUAACUUCGGGAAACCGGAGCUAAUACCGGAUAAUAUAUUGAACCGCAUGGUUCAAUAGUGAAAGACGGUUUUGCUGUCACUUAUAGAUGGAUCCGCGCCGCAUUAGCUAGUUGGUAAGGUAACGGCUUACCAAGGCAACGAUGCGUAGCCGACCUGAGAGGGGUGAUGGCCCACAUGGGAACUGAACCACGGCCCAGACCCCGACGGGAGGAAGAAGAGGGGAUUCUUCCGCAAGGGGGGAAGGCCGGACGGAGCAACGCGGGGUGUGGGAGAAAGGUCUAGGGAUGGAAAAACUUUUUUAUGGGGAAAAAAAAAAUGGGUAAGAAACUAUGCCGUUCUUGAGGGUACUAAAUAAAAAAGCCCCGGCUAACUACGUG